GGGGAUGAUGGGAAUCGAUUGGUAAACAAGGCGUAAAAAUCAAGCCGAAAAUGUUGGGUAUUUUCGUUAAGAUCCCAACAAAACACAAAUGCUGAAGAAGCAAGUUUCGUUCCUGUAGAAGAGUACGCUUUGGCGUACGCCUAAACAGGUGUUUGGCGCCGUUUUCUUUUAGCGGACGCGCCAGGCACAACCAGAGCUAAAAGAGGUUAGAAUAGUUAUGCAGGUUAUCUAUAUUUUAAUCUGAUUGGGUUUCCAAUCGAACUUAUAACCCGGUGAGGGGGUUUUUCUUGUUCUUUUACCCCCAAAAUCGCGACUUCAUUAAAAGAAUAAACAAGCUUGUAAAAAUUUUUGCGAUAUUGUUUGUCAACACGGGGGUUCAACUCCCCCCAUCUCCACCA
rnacentral:tmRNA from 1 species